AGGCAGCAGUGAGGAAUAUUGGACAAUGGGCGCAAGCCUGAUCCAGCCAUGCCGCGUGCAGGAUGACGGUCCUAUGGAUUGUAAACUGCUUUUAUACAGGAAGAAACCCUACCACGUGUGGUAGAUUGACGGUACUGUAGGAAUAAGGAUCGGCUAACUCCGUGCCAGCAGCCGCGGUAAUACGGAGGAUCCAAGCGUUAUCCGGAAUCAUUGGGUUUAAAGGGUCCGUAGGCGGUUUAAUAAGUCAGUGGUGAAAGCCCAUCGCUUAACGAUGGAACGGCCAUUGAUACUGUUAGACUUGAAUUAUUAGGAAGUAACUAGAAUAUGUAGUGUAGCGGUGAAAUGCUUAGAUAUUACAUGGAAUACCAAUUGCGAAGGCAGGUUACUAAUAAUAUAUUGACGCUGAUGGACGAAAGCGUGGGGAGCGAACAGGAUUAGAUACCCGUGUAGUCCACGCCGUAAACGAUGGAUACUAGCUGUUGGGCGCAAGCUCAGUGGCUAAGCGAAAGCGAUAAAGUAUCCC
rnacentral:rRNA from 1 species